UCCAUGUCAAUUCUAAGUUUUAAAGUGAUGAAUCUUUUAAACUUUUAGGCUUUGAAAAUGUUCUUGACUUGAACUCAACGUGCCAACAUGUGGAGCCAACCCAGAGAUGUUUUCCAUCUGAUGACCUUGAAAGCAGCAGGAGAUGUGCCUGGCUCCCAGUGCAUCAUAUGCCCUGAACGAACCAGCUUUUAU
rnacentral:lncRNA from 1 species